rnacentral:rRNA from 1 species
AACGAACGCUGGCGGCAUGCCUAACACAUGCAAGUCGAACGGGAUCCUAGCUUGCUAGGUGAGAGUGGCGGACGGGUGAGUAACACGUGGGAAUCUGCCUUUUGGUUCGGGAUAACCGCGGGAAACUGCGGCUAAUACCGAAUGCCCUCGAGAGAGGAAAGAUUUAUCGCCAGAAGAGGAGCCCGCGUCCGAUUAGGUAGUUGGUGGGGUAAAGGCCUACCAAGCCGACGAUCGGUAGCUGGUCUGAGAGGAUGAUCAGCCACACUGGGACUGAGAUACGGCCCAGACUCCUACGGGAGGCAGCAGUGGGAAUCUUAGACAAUGGGCGCAAGCCUGAUCUAGCCAUGCCGCGUGAGCGAUGAGGGCCUUAGGGUUGUAAAGCUCUUUCGUGGGGGGAAGAUAAUGACGGUACCCCAAGAAGAAGCCCCCGGCUAACUCCGUGCCAGCAGCCGCGGU